CGUAAUGGAUAAUUUUUCUAAAAUGUUGUUUUGAAGGUGGUCAAUGCUUACAUAGACAUAAUCAAAGGCAAUUUAGAGACAUCGGGCAUUAGAAACCAAGGAAUCAUGACGACAUAUGUGUUGGAUUCAGUGAGAGAUACUUCACAGAGGUUGAAACAUAAUAAUGUCUUCGAACCCAUAAUCUCUCUUAGGACACUAUGACAACAUAUUCAUCCCGUUGAUCACUACUGAAGGCUACCACUACACAAUGCUUCGGUCGAACAAAAAGGUAAAAGAAUGGAUUCAUUACAAUCCAAUGCGCAAAAGAACAAAUCCUGAAAAAAGCAAAGGCUACGAGAAUGCCAAAGAAGUGGUAGAAGCAGUGACAACGUGGAUGCUUGAUGUGAAAAAGUUCCACAAGCAGAACAAGGAGAGGAGGCUAAAAUUUGUCAUAGUGGAAAGAAAGAAGACAAUAUAUGAGGAAAUCUAGAUUGAUGAAAAUGCAGAGAAAACAAUUGCUUGGAUUGUAAAAAUUGAUGUGGAUAACUUAAAGCUGGUUGAAGACAUGUAUUGUGCGCAGUAACUUGAUAAUUCGUUGGACUGCGGACCUUAUAUCCUACACUAUAUAGGCAAUAUGGCAAAGAACAUGUUGCAGAUAAGCAAUGCAGAUAGAGGCGUUUUGAUUGAGAAGGUGUUGGGAUUAGAAAGAGAAAUCAAAGAAAGUUUGAAGAACAUGAGAAUAACCAUGGUGGAGAGAUUUCUUAACCAUGACGAGAGCUGGUAUUCGAAAGUAGGUGACAAUUGAAGGCAUGCAAAGACCAUAUUAGGAGGUUGUAUUGGAUUAGGAUUAGGAUUUUUG